rnacentral:rRNA from 1 species
GAAUGCUGACAUAAGUAACGAUAAAGCGGGUGAAAAGCCCGCUCGCCGGAAGACCAAGGGUUCCUGUCCAACGUUAAUCGGGGCAGGGUGAGUCGACCCCUAAGGCGAGGCCGAAAGGCGUAGUCGAUGGGAAACGGGUUAAUAUUCCCGUACUUGGUGUUACUGCGAAGGGGGGACGGAGAAGGCUAUGUUGGCCGGGCGACGGUUGUCCCGGUUUAAGCGUGUAGGUGUGUGUUCCAGGUAAAUCCGGUUCACUUUAACACUGAGGCGUGAUGACGAGGCACUACGGUGCUGAAGCAACAAAUGCCCUGCUUCCAGGAAAAGCCUCUAAGCAUCAGGUAACAUCAAAUCGUACCCCAAACCGACACAGGUGGUCAGGUAGAGAAUACCAAGGCGCUUGAGAGAACUCGGGUGAAGGAACUAGGCAAAAUGGUGCCGUAACUUCGGGAGAAGGCACGCUGACAUGUAGGUGAAGUGAUUUACUCAUGGAGCUGAAGUCAGUCGAAGAUACCAGCUGGCUGCAACUGUUUAUUAAAAACACAGCACUGUGCAAACACGAAAGUGGACGUAUACGGUGUGACGCCUGCCCGGUGCCGGAAGGUUAAUUGAUGGGGUCAGCGCAAGCGAAGCUCCUGAUCGAAGCCCCGGUAAACGGCGGCCGUAACUAUAACGGUCCUAAGGUAGCGAAAUUCCUUGUCGGGUAAGUUCCGACCUGCACGAAUGGCGUAAUGAUGGCCAGGCUGUCUCCACCCGAGACUCAGUGAAAUUGAACUCGCUGUGAAGAUGCAGUGUACCCGCGGCAAGACGGAAAGACCCCGUGAACCUUUACUAUAGCUUGACACUGAACAUUGAGCCUUGAUGUGUAGGAUAGGUGGGAGGCUUUGAAGUGUGGACGCCAGUCUGCAUGGAGCCGGCCUUGAAAUACCACCCUUUAAUGUUUGAUGUUCUAACGUGGACCCGUUACCCGGGUUGCGGACAGUGUCUGGUGGGUAGUUUGACUGGGGCGGUCUCCUCCUAAAGAGUAACGGAGGAGCACGAAGGUUGGCUAAUCCUGGUCGGACAUCAGGAGGUUAGUGCAAUGGCAUAAGCCAGCUUGACUGCGAGCGUGACGGCGCGAGCAGGUGCGAAAGCAGGUCAUAGUGAUCCGGUGGUUCUGAAUGGAAGGGCCAUCGCUCAACGGAUAAAAGGUACUCCGGGGAUAACAGGCUGAUACCGCCCAAGAGUUCAUAUCGACGGCGGUGUUUGGCACCUCGAUGUCGGCUCAUCACAUCCUGGGGCUGAAGUAGGUCCCAAGGGUAUGGCUGUUCGCCAUUUAAAGUGGUACGCGAGCUGGGUUUAGAACGUCGUGAGACAGUUCGGUCCCUAUCUGCCGUGGGCGCUGGAGAACUGAGGGGGGCUGCUCCUAGUACGAGAGGACCGGAGUGGACGCAUCACUGGUGUUCGGGUUGUCAUGCCAAUGGCACUGCCCGGUAGCUAAAUGCGGAAGAGAUAAGUGCUGAAAGCAUCUAAGCACGAAACUUGCCCCGAGAUGAGUUCUCCCUGAGACUUAGAGUCUCCUGAAGGAACGUUGAAGACGACGACGUUGAUAGGCCGGGUGUGUAAGCGCAGCGAUGCGUUGAGCUAACCGGUACUAAUGAACCGUGAGGCUUAACCUUACA